UUGGAGGGCAAGUCUGGUGCCAGCAGCCGCGGUAAUUCCAGCUCCAAUAGCGUAUAUUAAAGUUGUUGCAGUUAAAAAGCUCGUAGUUGAAUUUCGGGAUCAAUGUUUCGGUCAUGCCGUUGGUAUGUACUGAUAUUAUUGAUUUCUCACCUUCUAAAGAACCGUAAUGCCAUUAAUUUGGUGUCACGGGGAAUUAGGACUGUUACCUUGAAAAAAUUAGAGUGUUUAAAGCAGGCUCACGCUUGAAUACAUUAGCAUGGAAUAAUGAAAUAGGACAUCCGAUUCUAUUUUGUUGGUUUCUAGGAUCGAUGUAAUGAUUAAUAGGGAUAGUUGGGGGCAUUAGUAUUCAAUUGUCAGAGGUGAAAUUCUUGGAUUUAUUGAAGACUAACUACUGCGAAAGCAUUUGCCAAGGAUGUUUUCAUUAAUCAAGAACGAAAGUUAGGGGAUCGAAGACGAUCAGAUACCGUCGUAGUCUUAACCAUAAACUAUGCCGACUAGGGAUCGGAUGAUGUUGAUUUUUUAAUGACUCAUUCGGCGCCUUACGGGAAAC
rnacentral:rRNA from 1 species